rnacentral:rRNA from 1 species
AGCUCCAAUAGCGUAUAUUAAAGUUGUUGCAGUUAAAAGCUCGUAGUUGAAUUUCUGGUGGGAGUGUACAGUCCGACACUGAGUGUUGGUUCUUGUAUGUCUCCGGCCAUCCUUGGAGUGAAUCUGUCUGGCAUUCAGUUGUUGGGCAGAGUAUCUCCAUCGUUUACUGUGAGGAAAUGAAAGUGUUCAAAGCAGGCUUACGCCGUUGAAUCUUUUAGCAUGGAAUAAUAAGAUAGGAUCUUGAUACUAUUUUGUUGGUUUGCGUGUUAAGAUAAUGAUGAAUAGGGACAGUUGGGGGUAUUUGUAUUCCAUAGUCAGAGGUGAAAUUCUUGGAUUUGUUAAAGACGGACUACUGCGAAAGCAUUUGCCAAGGAUGUUUUCA